UGGAAACGACUGCUAAUACCGCAUACGCCCUACGGGGGAAAGGAGGGGCUCUUCGGACCUUUCGCGAUUGGAUGUACCUAGGUGGGAUUAGCUUGUUGGUGAGGUAAGAGCUCACCAAGGCGACGAUCCCUAGCUGUUCUGAGAGGAUGAUCAGCCACACUGGGACUGAGACACGGCCCAGACUCCUACGGGAGGCAGCAGUGGGGAAUAUUGCACAAUGGGCGAAAGCCUGAUGCAGCCAUGCCGCGUGUGUGAAGAAGGCCUUCGGGUUGUAAAGCACUUUCAGCGAGGAGGAAAGGUUAACGGUUAAUACCCGUUAGCUGUGACGUUACUCGCAGAAGAAGCACCGGCUAACUUCGUGCCAGCAGCCGCGGUAAUACGAGGGGUGCAAGCGUUAAUCGGAAUUACUGGGCGUAAAGCGUACGCAGGCGGUUUGUUAAGCGAGAUGUGAAAGCCCCGGGCUCAACCUGGGAACUGCAUUUCGAACUGGCAAACUAGAGUCUUG
rnacentral:rRNA from 1 species